rnacentral:rRNA from 1 species
UUAGCAUGGAAUAAUGGAAUAGGACGUAUGGUUCUAUUUUGUUGGUUUCUAGGACCAUCGUAAUGAUUAAUAGGGACGGUCGGGGGCAUCAGUAUUCAGUUGUCAGAGGUGAAAUUCUUGGAUUAACUGAAGACUAACUACUGCGAAAGCAUUUGCCAAGGACGUUUUCAUUAAUCAAGAACGAAAGUUAGGGGAUCGAAGAUGAUCAGAUACCGUCGUAGUCUUAACCAUAAACUAUGCCGACUAGGGAUCGGGUGGCGCUAUUUUGCCCACUCGGCACCUUACGAGAAAUCAAAGUUUUUGGGUUCUGGGGGGAGUAUGGUCGCAAGGCUGAAACUUAAAGGAAUUGACGGAAGGGCACCACCAGGAGUGGAGCCUGCGGCUUAAUUUGACUCAACACGGGGAAACUCACCAGGUCCAGACGUAAUAAGGAUUGACAAGUUAGAGACUUCUCUUGAUCUUACGGGUGGUGGUGCAUGGCCGUUUUUAGUCCUUGGAGUGAUUUGUCUGCUUAAUUGCGAUAACGGACGAGACCUUAACCUGCUAAAUAGGGCUGCGAGCAUCUGCUCGUGGGCUCUUCUUAGAGGGACUAUGGGUAUCAAACCCAUGGAAGUUUGAGGCAACAACAGGUCUGUGAUGCCCUUAGACGUUCUGGGCCGCAACGCGCGCUACACUGACGGAGCCAGCAAGUAUAUCCUUGGUCGAAGAGGCCCUGGGUAAUCUCGUGAAACUCCGUCGUGCUGGCCAUAA